rnacentral:tRNA from 1 species
GCGGGAGAUCGACGACGUGCUGCUGCGUCGCCCAGCGCUCGGAGUGCUCGCCGAGGAGGCGGUCGAGCUGCGCACGGCGUUCGACGCCGCCUCGCGUAC